GCCAGGUGCAGUGGUGUGCGCCUGUAGUCCCAGCUACUCAGGAGGCUGAGGUGGGUGGAUUGCUUGAACCCGGGAGGCAUAGGUUGCAGUGAGCUGAGAUUUCCCCACUGCAUUCCAGCCUGGGUGACAGAGUCAGAUCCUGUCUCAA
ensembl:misc_RNA Metazoa_SRP Metazoan signal recognition particle RNA